CUUUAAUCACAUACAGGAGGCUCUUGCAGGGUCUAGCAAGCUAUUAACAUAGCAGGGGAUAAGAAAAUCUUAAUUAAACAGAACUUGCAAUAAAGAAAGUCUAAAUAGGGCUCUCUUUACAGGAAGUGUUUAUGGAAGGCUGUGCAAGUCACAUGCAGGGAGGUGUGACUAGGGUUCAUAAACAAAGGGAUUUAACUCCUAAAUGGCAGAGGAUUGGGCUGCAGGG